GAACCACAUCCUACAGCGAGAAAGCAGUGUUUCCAUAUCGGCGUUUAACAAGUGAUUAAAUUGAAAAAGAUCGACAAAUAAUCCCAAAAUGUCCAAGGAGAGAAAGAUUGAUGGAGAGAGAAGGUCAUUUAAAGGAGAUGGGUAAACAAAUACAUGUUUGUGCUUCAAGGAGACAAACCGAUAACGUGGACAUCCGGGGUUACACAGUGUGCCCCAUGAUGGACAACCUAGAGUGGGCCACUGGCUUUUCAGAACGGUUUGGCCUUUUCUACCUCAAUCACUUGGACCCCAAAUUGCUUUGGUCAAGUGGAAGACUUCUGUUACACUCUCCUCCACCAUCAUCAACUGCAACGGCGCCUUGUGACCCUAUGAGUGCUUGAACACUGUGCCUGAAGUGGACAAGCGUCACGGCCGCGUCUCUCUGUGUUCCUGCUCACCUGCCUGCAAUCAACGCAUCGCCUCCAGCAGAUCCACGCCCGGAUCUCUAACUCUGUGCCAGAUGGCUGCCUCAGAUGUCAUCAAGAAUGUCCAGUAUGUGACAUUGAAAUGUCUUCAGGUUCAUGGAGAAACCCUUGAUGUGAGAAUAAGGGAAUGCAGGUUGGACUGUUGACAGUACACAAAGGCAUUCUGCAUGAUUCAUUUCCUUUGGAAGUCUUCGAUGCGGCCGUGGUAGCAGAGGAGCAUCCUACAUGAGCACAGAGACGUGUUGAUGGGCACAAUCUGCUUUCUUAACCUGGAGUAUCCCGUAAUAUGAAAUACACCUUAGAGUUCCUUCAGAGGGUCAUCAUGAACAUUAAACUGGACCAGUGCUCAGCAAGAAUCCAUGGGCUCAGAAGCCAACUGCUCAGAUAAAUGGUAAAUGGGGUCGGCUGUAGCUCACAGGGAUGAGCGGUCGUCCCGGUCUCCGCUCUCCCCAUAGAUGCAUGUCGAAGUGUCCUUGAGCAAGACACUGAACCCCCAGGUGCUCCCCGGGUGCUUCGCUGCAGCCCACUGCUCCUUAAUA